AGUGAACGCUGGCGGUAGGCCUAACACAUGCAAGUCGAACGGCAGCACGGUAAGAGCUUGCUCUUACGGGUGGCGAGUGGCGGACGGGUGAGGAAUACAUCGGAAUCUACUUUUUCGUGGGGGAUAACGUAGGGAAACUUACGCUAAUACCGCAUACGACCUACGGGUGAAAGCAGGAGAUCUUCGGACCUUGCGCGAUUGAAUGAGCCGAUGUCGGAUUAGCUAGUUGGCGGGGUAAAGGCCCACCAAGGCGACGAUCCGUAGCUGGUCUGAGAGGAUGAUCAGCCACACUGGAACUGAGACACGGUCCAGACUCCUACGGGAGGCAGCAGUGGGGAAUAUUGGACAAUGGGCGCAAGCCUGAUCCAGCCAUACCGCGUGGGUGAAGAAGGCCUUCGGGUUGUAAAGCCCUUUUGUUGGGAAAGAAAAGCAGCAGGUUAAUACCCCGCUGUUCUGACGGUACCCAAAGAAUAAGCACCGGCUAACUUCGUG
rnacentral:rRNA from 1 species